GUCGAACGGCAGCACGGACUUCGGUCUGGUGGCGAGUGGCGAACGGGUGAGUAAUGUAUCGGAACGUGCCUAGUAGCGGGGGAUAACUACGCGAAAGCGUAUCUAAUACCGCAUACGCCCUACGGGGGAAAGCAGGGGAUCGCAAGACCUUGCACUAUUAGAGCGGCCGAUAUNGGAUUAGCUAGUUGGUGGGGUAACGGCUNACCAAGGCGACGAUCCGUAGCUGGUUUGAGAGGACGACCAGCCACACUGGGACUGAGACACGGCCCAGACUCCUACGGGAGGCAGCAGUGGGGAAUUUUGGACAAUGGGGGAAACCCUGAUCCAGCCAUCCCGCGUGUGCGAUGAAGGCCUUCGGGUUGUAAAGCACUUUUGGCAGGAAAGAAACGUCAUGGGUUAAUACCCCGUGAAACUGACGGUACCUGCAGAAUAAGCACCGGCUAACUACUUGCCAGCAGCC
rnacentral:rRNA from 1 species